rnacentral:rRNA from 1 species
UACGUAGGGCGCAAGCGUUGUCCGGAAUUAUUGGGCGUAAAGAGCUCGUAGGCGGCUUGUCACGUCGGGUGUGAAAGCCCGGGGCUUAACCCCGGGUCUGCAUUCGAUACGGGCUAGCUAGAGUGUGGUAGGGGAGAUCGGAAUUCCUGGUGUAGCGGUGAAAUGCGCAGAUAUCAGGAGGAACACCGGUGGCGAAGGCGGCGCUCUGGGCCGGAACUGACGCUGAGGAGCGAAAGCGUGGGGAGCAAACAGG